GCCGCGGUCGCAUAAUCUGGCAUUGCGCCAGCCUUGAGAGCUGGUUCCCUUCGGGGUAUCCCGGUUCAAAUCCGGGCCGCGGCG
rnacentral:tRNA from 1 species